CCUAACCUUACCAAAAAUAGUAAGGCAAGGAGGGGUUGGGGUUUUUUUUUCGAAGACAAAAGAGGAAAAAAAAUAAAAAAAUAAAAUAAAAAAAUAAAAAAAAUGGGUUACCUUCACCGAUGACCGCCGCCGCCGCCAUGGUGUCAUCUUCUCCAUGACCACCAAGAUCCUAAACCUUAACCAACCCCCCCACUCAUUCUUCUUUCUCCUGUUGCCACCACUACAUCUCCCCCCGUGCCUCCUCCCUCACCUUCUUCCACCAUUCCACCAUUAAACACCGUCGCCACCACCACAUCCCCUUUUACCACCUGCCACCACUACCUUUCCCCGUUCAAAACAACCUGGACCUCCACCAAUCUUAACCCCAGGUCGUGGAGAUCGCGCUCCCCUCUUGUCCAUCUUAAAUUUCCAGUUUCUGGUGUUUUGUAAAUUUGGCUUAGUGAGCCGAGCCGUCUAAGCUAGUAAGCCAAACAAGC
rnacentral:lncRNA from 1 species